rnacentral:lncRNA from 1 species
GCAGAAGCACCGCUUGCCGCCGCGGUGCCGCACGCACUCACUGCAGAACGAGCGCUUCAAAGCGAACGCGCCCGGCGCGCUCGAUGCCGGGAGCUGGAAGGCCGGGACCAGGCGAACCCGAACCGCCCCCGCGACGAACGCGCCGGCGGUAAGGCCGCAGCCCCGCCCGGCAGGACGCGCUUCACGUCCCAGCGGGCCGGCAGGCACCGCCCGCCCCAGCGCCGAGGCCGCCCGCUCCGCACCCACCUCUCCGUCCGCUCCGCCGUUCCGCGGGGCCGGAGCGGGGCGAGCCCGGCCCGUGCCGCAGCCCGGCGGCGUCGCCCCUUAGCGCGGAGCGGCCCCUCCACCCCCCCGUCGCACCGCGGCACGCUCAGCCCGGCCGGCGGGGCGCCCCGACGGCGAGCUCGGGGAACGCGCCCGGCCCCGCGGCCCCGCCGAGCCCGGGAGGCGGCGCGACGACCCGCUGCGCCCCGCCCGGCCCCCCGCACCGCGCCGCCCCCGGCCGAGAUCGGGCCCGGAGGGGAGGCGCAGCCCCGCGGCCGCCGAGCCCCUCCGCGCGAACCGCGCCGCGGUCGCCCCCCGGGACUCCCCGGCGCCGCCGGUGCCCCCGAGGGAGCGGAGCCGCCGAGCGCGGCUCCUCCCGGCCGCGCCCCGCCCCGGUGCGCUCCAGCAGCGCCCCGCGCCGGGCGGGCCGUGCCGGCCGGGCUCCCCUUACCGCUCCGGCCGCCGCCGGCUCCGCGCGCUUCCCGGCGCCCUUGCCGCCACCACCCCCGGGGCGGAGCGCGGCGCACACCGGGCAGCCACGCGGCUGGGAGGGGGGACCGGAGCCGGUCCCGGCCAUCCGUUCGCCCCGUGGCCGCCGCCCUGAGCAGACAGGAGGCGCGGAGCGGACCCCGCCGCUCUCCCCGCCGGUGGGCGCCGCGCGCGGUCUUACAGCGGGGGACUGGGGCGGCGGUGCUGGGUGAUCGUUCGGGAUUUUGGGGGCCUGUCCUCUUCAAUGUCUUUAUUGAUGACCUGGAUGAGGGCACUGAGUGCACCCUCAGUAAGUUUGCGGAUGACACCACUUUGGCUGAAAGUGCCAAUCUCCCUGGGGGUAGCGAGGCCCUACAGAGGAAUCUGGACAGGCUGGAUAGCUGGGCUGAAGCCAAUGGGAUGAGUUUCAACAAGGCCAAAUGCUGGGUCCUGCACUUUGGCCGCAACAACCCCAGGCAACGCUACAGGCUUGGGCAGAGUGGCUGA